UGGCUCAGAACGAACGCUGGCGGCGUGCCUAACACAUGCAAGUCGAACGAGAAAGUGGAGCAGUCCAUGAGUACAGUGGCGACCGGGUGAGUAACACGUGACUAACCUACCCUCGAGUGGGGAAUAACUCCGGGAAACCGGAGCUAAUACCGCAUAACAUCGCAAGAUCAAAGCCGAAAGGCGCUUGAGGAGGGGGUCGCGGCUGAUUAGCUAGUUGGUAGGGUAAUGGCCUACCAAGGCAAAGAUCGGUAUCCGGCCUGAGAGGGCGCACGGACACACUGGAACUGAAACACGGUCCAGACUCCUACGGGAGGCAGCAGUGGAGACUUU
rnacentral:rRNA from 1 species